UACGGAGGGGACUAGCGUUGUUCGGAUUUACUGGGCGUAAAGGGCGCGUAGGCGGUCUGUUAAGUUAGAAGUGAAAGCCUGGGGCUUAACCCCAGAACUGCUUCUAAAACUGGCAAACUAGAGUACGGGAGAGGAUAGUGGAAUUCCUAGUGUAGAGGUGAAAUUCUUAGAUAUUAGGAGGAACACCGGUGGCGAAAGCGACUAUCUGGAACGUUACUGACGCUGAGGCGCGAAAGCGUGGGGAGCAAACAGGAUUAGAUACCCUGGUAGUCCACGCUGUAAACGAUGAAUGCUAGAUAUCGGAUUUAUUCGGUGUCGAAGAUAACUUGAUAAGCAUUCCGCCUGGGGAGUACGGUCGCAAGAUUA
rnacentral:rRNA from 1 species